GUCCGUGUCUUGCCUGUCACUCGGUUGUCGUUCAUUAUUUCCACUGGGACCCAAAAUUCCGCCACACAAACUAUUUCAAAGUGGAGGAUGGAUCUUCAGUGUUGACACAGUUUCUCCUCUAAUGAAGGGACACCCUAAACUCCAAGCAGCAGUGUCCCCUGGAGACAGGCGUCCCCUUUUUAGAGGUGAAUGCUAUGAGCAGGGCCGUUUCUAGCUUCAUGGGGGCCCUAGGC